rnacentral:misc_RNA from 1 species
UCGUAACAAGGUUUCCGUAGGUGAACCUGCGGAAGGAUCAUUACCGAGUGAGGGCCCUCUGGGUCCAACCUCCCACCCGUGUUUAUUUACCUUGUUGCUUCGGCGGGCCCGCCUUAACUGGCCGCCGGGGGGCUCACGCCCCCGGGCCCGCGCCCGCCGAAGACACCCUCGAACUCUGUCUGAAGAUUGUAGUCUGAGUGAAAAUAUAAAUUAUUUAAAACUUUCAACAACGGAUCUCUUGGUUCCGGCAUCGAUGAAGAACGCAGCGAAAUGCGAUACGUAAUGUGAAUUGCAAAUUCAGUGAAUCAUCGAGUCUUUGAACGCACAUUGCGCCCCCUGGUAUUCCGGGGGGCAUGCCUGUCCGAGCGUCAUUGCUGCCCUCAAGCACGGCUUGUGUGUUGGGCCCCGUCCCCCGAUUCCGGGGGACGGGCCCGAAAGGCAGCGGCGGCACCGCGUCCGGUCCUCGAGCGUAUGGGGCUUUGUCACCCGCUCUGUAGGCCCGGCCGGCGCCUGCCGAUCAACCCAAAUUUUUAUCCAGGUUGACCUCGGAUCAGGUAGGGAUACCCGCUGAACUUAAGCAUAUC